rnacentral:rRNA from 1 species
UACGGAGGGGGCUAGCGUUGUUCGGAAUUACUGGGCGUAAAGCGCACGUAGGCGGCUUUGUAAGUUAGAGGUGAAAGCCCGGGGCUCAACUCCGGAAUUGCCUUUAAGACUGCAUCGCUAGAAUUGUGGAGAGGUAAGUGGAAUUCCGAGUGUAGAGGUGAAAUUCGUAGAUAUUCGGAAGAACACCAGUGGCGAAGGCGACUUACUGGACCACUUCUGACGCUGAGGCGCGAAAGCUAGGGGAGCAAACAGG